GUCGUCGCCGCCAGCCAUCCUCCCCUUCGCCCCGUCAUCUCCCACUCGCUCCACCCCUCUCGCAGUCGUCACCGCCAGCCAUCUCGUAGGAUGGAGACGCUGGCCGCCUCCAUCUCCUCUUUGUCGCCGUCUGACCCAGAUGCGGCCGCAGUCUGCCGGCGCCGCAGGCGGAGGAGACGCGCCUAGGAGGAGCCUUCGGCAGCCGCCGCCGCCGCGCCCUCCUCCUCCUUCCACCUUCUAGCCGGCGCCCAACCACCGCGCCCUCUCCCUCCCCCUACCGCCGGCCUCUCCCUAGGUGGCGGCCAGAUCUGCCACGGCCACAGCCACGGCGAGGGCUUCUGGAUCCGCGCCGCCGUCGAGCUGGACGCGACCAUCAACCUCGGACCACACCGCCGCCGCCAUGGAUGCACCAUAUCAAGGAAUUGCAAGAAAAUCAUGAGGAAUUUCUUUCAGGUCGCAAUGGCUGACAAAGAGCUUCAGGUUCAUGGUUCACCAGGUUCUGCUGGCUCCACUAACAGUUGCCUGCAAGCACUUGCAUAGUUAUUCCCCCUCUCCUACAAAUGAGAUCAAUUUGGCAUGGGUAUGCGUACAGUUGGAAUGAGGCGCCAUGGGAAGGAUUCAAAUCUCUGAGAAGUGUGCUAAAUCAAUAGUGCCAAUCGGUUCAGUUUCAGCUUCAAAAACAUUGGGUGAUUGAAAAUGGCAUGCUAUAUUUCUGCAACAAGGCUCCCUAAAUAUUCCCUAUGUUCUAAACUGGAUUCUGACAAGGGUGUACACCCUGCUAUUUGGUCAGAAGUCUGGGAGUUCAUACUUGGUUGUUUGAUCUCGAGAACACCUUUGAUGACCACGGGCAAAUUGGGCGAACCAGAAGGUUUGUACUUGGCUUUAUCAGAAUUAGAAUAUGCAGAACAUGUGUUGGAGAAGUGCCCAUUUGGUUUUAUGAAAUAAUAUUCAGUCAGUUUAAAGUUA